rfam:Hordeum vulgare subsp. vulgare, WGS project CAJW01000000 data, contig: morex_contig_41725
CUACUAGUCCCUCCAUCUGAAAAUACUUGUCACAAAAAUGAAUAUAUUUAGAUGUAUUUUAGUUUUAGAUACAUCUAUUUUUAUCCAUUUGUGCGACAAGUAAUUCCGGACGGAGUGAAUAUGUA